ACGGGCGGUGUGUGCAACUGACGCUGAGGCUCGAAAGUGUGGGUAUCAAACAGGAUUAGAUACCCUGGUAGUCCACACAGUAAACGAUGAAUACUCGCGGUUGGUUCGUUAGAGUCAGCCGCCAAGCGAAAGCGUUAAGUAUUCCACCUGGGGAGUACGCCGGCAACGGUGAAACUCAAAGGAAUUGACGGGGGCCCGCACAAGCGGAGGAACAUGUGGUUUAAUUCGAUGAUACGCGAGGAACCUUACCCGGGCUUGAACUGCCAGUGACUCAUGCAGAGACGCAUGUUUCUUCGGACACUGGCGGAGGUGCUGCAUGGUUGUCGUCAGCUCGUGCCGUGAGGUGUCGGCUUAAGUGCCAUAACGAGCGCAACCCUUCUCCCUGUUUGCCAUCGGGUUAAGCCGGGCACUCCAGGGACACUGCCAUCGUAAGAUGUGAGGAAGGUGGGGAUGACGCCAAAUCAGCACGGCCCUUACGUCCGGGGCUACACACGUGUUACAAUGGGCGGUACAGAAAGCAGCUACCCCGCGAGGGGACGCCAAUCUCAAAAACCGUUCUCAGUUCGGACUGGAGUCUGCAACCCGACUCCACGAAGCUGGAUUCGCUAGUAAUCGCGCAUCAGCCAUGGCGCGGUGAAUACGUUCCCGGGCCUUGCACACACCGCCCGU
rnacentral:rRNA from 1 species